rnacentral:rRNA from 1 species
GAUGAACGCUGGCGGCGUGCCUAAUACAUGCAAGUCGAGCGAACAGAUGAUGAGCUUGUGCCUCUGACGUUAGCGGCUGACGGGUGAGUAACACGUGGAUAACCUACCUAUAAGACUGGGAGAACUUCGUGAAACCGGAUCUAAUACCGGAUAAUAUAUUGAACCGCAUGGUUCAAUAGUGAAAGACGGUUUUGCUGUCACUUAUAGAUGGAUCCGCGCCGCAUUAGCUAGUUGGUAAGGUAACGGCUUACCAAGGCGACGAUGCGUAGCCGACCUGAGAGGGUGAUCGGCCACACUGGAACUGAGACACGGUCCAGACUCCUACGGGAGGCAGCAGUAGGGAAUAUUCCGCAAUGGGCGAAAGCCUGACGGAGCAACGCCGCGUGAGUGAUGAAGGUCUUCGGAUCGUAAAACUCUGUUAUUAGGAAAGAAAAAAUGUGUAAGUAAAUAUGCACGUCUUGACGGUACCUAAUGAGAAAGCCACGGCUAACUACGUG